ensembl:lncRNA
AUGGGCUGUGGACUAAGGAGGUGGUCACAGGCACGGAGGUCAGAGCAUACUCUCCAGAAAUAUUUAGGAGGUAGAACUGGCCUGAUUUGGUUUAUUUCUGUACAAUGCAUCAAAAGUGUUAUUCAGCAGAAUUAUCCUUAGAAAUACACUGUACCAUGUGAAAGGAACCCUUCAAUAAAUACACAGAGGUGGAGGAUGAGAUUCCAAGGAGAGUUCAAAUAGCAGAAGGUGAUUGCUAAAGUGCUCUGCAUAAUACAUGGAAAGGAACUUAUUCAGCCCCCGAGGGGAUGAAGGGUUGAGAGACCGCACGAAGGAGCAAGGAAAGAGAGGUGAGUGAAGGAGCCUGGGCACGGCUCCAGGGCAACAUAGAGAGAUGCCUGCUGGCGCCAAAGUGGGUAGGCAACUCGGGGAUAAAACAAUGUUCAAGAAGGGGUUUUUACACUUGCUUGAAAAUGUGAUGUAAGCCCUCAUUUCCCCUGGACUCCUGUACAGAAUCUUUAGUAGUCUGGGCAAUGCUGUGCUGUGCGUUUGUGUGAGUGUGCACGCUCUUUGGGGAAUGUGAAUAGAUGCUGAUUUCUGUGUUUUGUCUGAUUCAAUGCAAAACCAGAAGCAGCAUCUGUGAGCAGGACACCUGGGGCAGAAGAGACCUGGGGCAGUAGGGUCCUGACAAGUUUCUGGACUUCCCCAGGUUGUGGUAAUUGGCGAUGGAGCAGGCAGAGCAAGCAGUUUAAAGGAAUUUCUUCUAGAACAAGAGGAUAGGGAGAACUUCAGCUUACAUCUGCAUUUUCUUUCCUUUUGUUAUUCCCGAGCCUUUAGAAAAGUCUUGUUUAAACAUUCCAGCAUGGUUUCAAGUGGCAGUACGACUAGAAGGGAGGCUCCUGUGUCUGCACUUGGACCAAAAGUGAAAUGGGGAAGAAGCACCCCUUUCCACCUCCUUAGGCGAGCACAGUGGUGGCAAUUGUUCUUAGUGACAGAGAAGUUCAUGGCCAUGGUGAAUUUUGGAUAUAAGCAUCGUGGUUACAAAAUCCAACUUCCGUACUCACACUCAAAUGUAGAGAUUGUCAUUUCACUGUCAUCCUUGAAUCAUUUAGGGUUUUAUUUUAUAUUUGUGGGGGGGGGGGAAGUAUUUUAUUUAGAAAAGAUAUCUAAUGUGCUUGGAUCCAUCCGUUGUGUGUUCAUCUACCACCUUUUUGCAGUUUUGGAAUCAUAAUAAGGGCUAUAUUUCUGGGCAGAUAUAUGGAAUUCCAUAAAUCUUAAAUCACACCAUGAUCCAUGUCUGAGGACGCUUCCCCCUAAAAUAGAAAUGCUGUUAGAGAUCUCACAGCAUUAAUAUUUUAAAAAGUUGAUAAAUGAGUAAAAAUGCAAUUUAGUCAUUAAAAUUUAAGGAAUUCUGCUCGGGCUUCUUAUCUACCCAGUUAUGUCCUCAGAACUCAUUUUCACAUUGUAUUUAAUGUGGGCUUUGUUGAAAGCUGCUUCCAUCUGUGUGAGAUGCUAAUUUCAGGGAACCAAAUGAAUGGACUCUUUGGUGUAGGGAAAAGUACCUUCCCUAGCAGGCAAUUUCUUAAGAAAGGUGCUUCAAUCAAGGUUCUCAGAAUGCACAGAAACAAGUUCAAAUAUAAGGAGAAAUUGGAUGAACCUUCAAAGAUAGGAAAUGAGUUAAAUCAUUGCACCUGGACACUGGGAAUGGUGAGUCACAAACUGAGAAAAGACCCCUGGAAUAAUUCCUUCUGUCUUGCUUUGGGUUGGAUGAGAAGAACUACUUUUCAAGUUUCUGUCUGAGUGUUUCUGUUUUUUCUCUGAAUUCCCUUCUCUUAGACAACAUCACGUCUCUGUGUUGGUUCACGGCCAACAACAGCAUCACAGGUACGAAUUACCUACAUGAUGGGUGCUGAGAAGACCCCCAUGCUCCAGGGUUCAGGUUUGCUUGGGGUGGUUUCACCUGGAGGUGGUGGGGGCAGAGUUGAAGCUGUGCACCUUAGGAGGCAGAAGAGUUUAUUAAUUCUUUGGUAGAUAAUACAGGAGAUGCCCAAGGAACCCAAAUGCCAUUAGGCUGAAUCUAAACAGAGACAGAAAUUGGAGAGGAGAGGAUUUUUGGUUUUAUGCACUAUGAGCUUUAAAAGGGGACUUCAUUUGGGCUUUAACUUUUAGGUUUCUUAUUUCACUAGGAAUUGAAUAAUUAGAGACAGUCUCUCUUACAUAACAUUGGAAUAGUCCUCAUUGUAUUAGCUGGGUUCAUUGUAUGAGCUCUGAAGGGCUCCAUGGGAUCCAGUGUCUGGGCAUGACUGGAGAUGGGUAAUGGACUACAGGGUGAUUCUUUGGCCUGUGAGGAAAUUGGUCUUAGAGGUAAUGAGUACUUUUCCAGCCUAGAGCUUUCUGGGGGCAGCAGUUGACAGGCUCAGAGAUUCAUAUUAACAGUGAUAGGAAUCAGAAGGCAGGGUGACUAACUGACCUGGUUUUCCCUGGAUGAGGGGGUUCCUGGAACUUGGGACUUUCAGUGUUAAAAUCCUGAAAUUUCCAGAUAAAUCAGGACAGUUGGUUAACCUAACUAAGGAAGGGAACAGACUGGCCUGGUAGCAUGGCCAAGCUUUUCUCCUGGAUAGUGGUGAUAAGGAAAAUGGGGAGGAGACAGCCUCUCCUGGUCCACAGAUCUUGCUGCCUGUCAGCAUGGUGGUCUCAGGGUGGUUGGGCUUCUGAGAUGGUGGCUGCUUUUUUUAAAGGGGAAAGAAAAAAAAGCUGCCAGUUGUCCUAAGGCCUAGGCUUGAAAGUUCCAACUUUCAAAACAUGACUUCUACCACAUUCUUUUGGUCAAAGCAGAGAUAUGACCAUCCUAAAUUCAAACGGAGAGGAAAAAGUCUCCAAUUCUAGAUAGAUGGAGUAACAUGUAUGAGCAACAAGGUAAGACAUGGAUGAUGACCAUCUCUGGAGACUGUCUGCUACAAAUACGAUUUUGGAAAUGGCGAGGCACACAGGAACGUACAAUGUGAAUGGAGGGACACAUUAUCUGCCAUCUCUAUCUAUCUGGAGGGCUGCCUAAGUGCUCAGUGGUAAAGAAUCCACCUGCUAAUGCAGGAGACCCGGGAUUUCCCUGGGUUGGGAAAUCCCUGGGAGAAAGGAAUGGCUACCCACUCUAGUAUUCUUGCCUGGAGAAUCCCAUGGACAGAGGAGCCUGGUAGGCUACAGUCCAUGGAGUCUCAAAGAGUCAGACAUGACUUAAUGACUAAGCAACAACAGUCUACCGGGAAGUAAGUGAGAUAAUUUGUUGUCCUUAAGAACUUGUAUUCUAGAACGAGAGAUAUAUACAUGCAACAAUAC